rnacentral:rRNA from 1 species
GACAGAGGGGGCAAGCGUUGCUCGGAAUCACUGGGCGUAAAGGGCGCGUAGGCGGGAUGGCAAGUCAGUCGUGAAAUCUCUCGGCUCAACCGAGAAACGUCGGCUGAUACUGCCGUUCUUGAGGGAUGCAGAGGAGACUGGAAUUCCCGGUGUCGCGGUGAAAUGUGUAGAGAUCGGGAGGAACACCGGUGGCGAAGGCGGGUCUCUGGGCAUUUCCUGACGCUGAGGCGCGAAAGCGUGGGGAGCAAACGGG